GAAUCUGAGAACUGUAACCCUUCUGAGGGAAAUCUGACUCACCAGCUAGUUUUAGUUUGAGCUAGGAGAACAUGUCCUUUGGCUUUCUGGAGGCUCCUGGUAUGGUGGAACCACUGGAAGGCAAAAGAUUUGGAUUUACAACACAGAGUCACCUAUCCAGUGUAGUAGAGACCUGGGGAGAGAGAGAACUUGCAAGAACUUGCUGGAGACCUAGAUGUCAAUCAAGAGAAGGUUCCAACGGAAUGUUCCCAGGAGGGGCAUUUGUGAGUUUUCUGGCCACGCUGAGAGAAGAAGCAGGAUCUAAAAGACUUUGGACUUUGUCUCUGGCUCUGAGCAGUUGUACUGACCAGAGGGAGGGGUCUGGACUUGGAGUCUCACUCCCGCUAGAGGUUAAAAAGCUGGCUGAAAGACCCUUGUGGGGCUGACUUGGUUUUUGGGUUUCUCUGGUUUUGGACAGUUGAAGUUGACAAGAAGGAAAGCCUUGGCUUUUGAGUUGGUGGUCUACAUGAGAGUUGAGCUGGCCAGGAGAAACUGAGAGACUUUGAACUUUGUUUCUCUCUGGGGUUGAAGCUGAGAAAGGAGACAAGCCAGGCUGAUUUUGUGAAGAAGAAAGAAGAUUUUGAAUUGCUGUUGUCCUCCAUCUCCCUAACUGUCUUAGAGUCACAGUUUGUGACUGGACUACUUCCUCAAACCUCCCUAAAAUUAUCCCCAUAGUUUAGGGAAAUCCUCAUCCCUCCUACCUCAGUUUCCCAUCCUUUUAUCACAAUAAACCCCUGACUUGAAAAGGAAAAGAAAAGAAU
rnacentral:lncRNA from 1 species